UUAUCGCCCCAUUUCCCUGACGUCAUUACCUUUAUAUUAUCCCGGGUGGAAGGAGGGAGCGUCAGUACGUCUUUAGUCACUGGUGGGAGAGCGUCACCACAGCAAGGGAUCGCCAUGAAGUCGCUGCAUCUGCUGUGUUUCCUGCUGCUGGUGGGCUGGGCCACAUGCCUAUGCAACCUGGAAGAGGGGAAGAGAUAUCGCUCGGUGACCUGCCCGAUAAACCGCUUAUUCCGGCCCCUGUGUGGUAGCGACGGCUGCUCCUACAUCAACGACGACGCCCUGGCCUGUGCUCGAAAGGAUAACCCACAGCUGCGGUUUGCUUACGAGGGCGAAUGCAGGGACGAGGCGGAGCAGGAGAGAGGCGCAAACAAUGUGCUGCACUAAGAGAUGGCACCAUGCACCGGCACCCACACCCCCACUCGACGUAGUACUUGUAAGGACUUGUAGGAUAUGUUCGCCACUUCGAAGUGCAUAUCAUUCCGAUCAGCGCUCACAGUAGGAAAGUAGCUCCCCAGGAAAGUACUAAAGUUGUCGUAAUUAAGAAAAUCCGUAUGGAAUUUUCUCACCUCGGAGUCCAGUUUUUGUUUAUUUUUUCCUAUUGAUGUGAUUACUAAUUGGAAUGAAGAGUACGACUUGGAGAACAUACCCUUCAGCCUCGCACACCAGAUCACUACCACAUAAUAUAUAUAAUGGACGUCGACGAGGUUUUACUAUAGGGAGAGUGAGUGCCAAGAUCUUUGUGGGUAUGAGUUGAAUUGCGAAAGAUGAAACAAACGGUUCUAUUCGAAUUAGAGGACGGUGGUGGGAAAUAUUGAUAUCGCAGCAAAUCCAUAAUUAAAAUAACUGUAACAGGAGGGAUAAUCUUUAAUAACAGCUCACCACCGAUGAUAAUAUAGUAGCCAGCGCCGAGAAGAUUGAAAAAGUUGACAAUGAGAACGACAAGAAAAGCUCAAUAACAAAAAUAAAAUGAUGUACAAUUAACGAUGACACACACACGCACACACGCGCACACGCACACAGACACGCACACGAGAAUGAACCCAAGAAGACCGUGAACAUUCAGGGUUUUGUCGGAGGCUGAAAACUGCAACUGGGGAAAAAAUCUUUAGUUGAACAUGUAUCUUCGUAGCCGCCCGCCCGUAAUCUUGUCGACUACAUGUUAUUCACGAAUGAGUGCCUUUACGAAUCCACUGAGCACAAGGGAAACGCACGAUUGUUCGAAGUAUUCCGAGUAUAUUAUUUUCAUGGUUGUGGAAUGCCGGUUGAAGGACAAUAAAGGGAAACUGUUAUGCUGCAGAAGCUACUUUUUAAUGGCUUACCUUUUGUUUGAUUGUUACCUGCAGGUACGCAGAUAAUUUGAUACGUAAUAUUUUGUUAAGUGCGGAGUGUAAUUUGGCGGGCAUUAUAAGGAAAUUAAUGUGCAAGAGAC